UAAGGAGGGUGCGAGCGUUGUCUGGAAUCACUGGGCGUAAAGGGCGCGUAGGCGGUCUGCUAAGCGUGCGGUGAAAGCCUGGGGCUCAACCCCAGGUCUGCCGUGCGAACUGGUGGACUAGAGCACUGUAGAGGCAGGUGGAAUUCCGGGUGUAGCGGUGGAAUGCGUAGAGAUCCGGAAGAACACCGGUGGCGAAGGCGGCCUGCUGGGCAGUUGCUGACGCUGAGGCGCGACAGCGUGGGGAGCAAACAGG
rnacentral:rRNA from 1 species